rnacentral:rRNA from 1 species
GUGGGGAAUUUUGGACAAUGGGCGCAAGCCUGAUCCAGCAAUGCCGCGUGCAGGAAGAAGGCCUUCGGGUUGUAAACUGCUUUUGUACGGAACGAAACGGUCCGGGUUAAUACCCUGGGCUAAUGACGGUACCGUAAGAAUAAGCACCGGCUAACUACGUGCCAGCAGCCGCGGUAAUACGUAGGGUGCAAGCGUUAAUCGGAAUUACUGGGCGUAAAGCGUGCGCAGGCGGUUUUGUAAGACAGGCGUGAAAUCCCCGGGCUCAACCUGGGAAUUGCGCUUGUGACUGCAAGGCUGGAGUGCGGCAGAGGGGGAUGGAAUUCCGCGUGUAGCAGUGAAAUGCGUAGAUAUGCGGAGGAAAACCGAUGGCGAAGGCAAUCCCCUGGGCCUGCACUGACGCUCAUGCACGAAAGCGUGGGGAGCAAACAGGAUUAGAAACCCUUGUAGUCC